GCUCUCGCAGUCACUGCUUCGUCCUCCGGGUUCGGCACCGGAAAAAAGACCCAACUCGCCUAGCUGCCCGCCUAGCGACCGCCUAGCUGCCUAACGACCGCCUAGAGACCGCCUAGCCGCCUAACGACCGCCUAGCCGCCUAGCGCCCGCCUAGCGCGCGUUCUUGAAGGGUUCAACGACAAUUCACAAGAUGCACAUUCUUGAAGACGCUUGGGCCUAACUUCAGAUCCUAUUUCUAUCGAGCUUUUCAUCAGUUCAAGAGAGUCUUUGCAGAAUUUAAAAGCUCUCACCAUGAGUUACAACAUUUCAUCAAAGAGAAACAGGAAAAGAAUGAAUUCAAAGCAGCUCUUGCAAAUGAGGAAUUAGUUUUCUUUAUGUUUUUGUUUAGGGCAAAGAUUCAUGAAGUUCCCAAAUUGUGUGAGGAAGGAUCUCCUAAAAUACCACUGCAAUGUGCACAUGUUAUAAGGUUCUAAUUCUGCUGUGAUAUUUAUUAUGUGUAUGAUGGUCUGAGAGGGCUAUUUCUGCUUUAAAGACUAUUUUCAAUCUCUAUGUGAUACGGUGGACGGUGGUAAAGACUUCUAUUUGCUUGGUUCUGAUUUUGAGAGCUAUUUAGAGGCACUGGCUGCUGUCGAUAAAGCAUUUGCGGAUCCAAAUAAGUGGACUCAGAUGAGCAUCCUUAGCACAGCCGGGUCGGGGAUAUUUAGCAGCGACAGAACAAUCCAAGACUACGUGGAGAAGACUUGGGGAAUUGAACCGUGCAGAUUCCCUUCUGAUGGCUAGCUCCCCCUCACCCUCAUCCACACCCCAGUAGCAACAUUUUACAGAUUUGAAUGGAAUGUAUCGGAAAGAACUUAAAUUCUCAUUCCCCAA